rnacentral:rRNA from 1 species
GGGCGUAAGAGCUCGUAGGCGGUUUGUCGCGUCUGCUGUGAAAUCUGGGGGCUCAACCCCCAGCCUGCAGUGGGUACGGGCAGACUAGAGUGCGGUAGGGGAGAUUGGAAUUCCUGGUGUAGCGGUGGAAUGCGCAGAUAUCAGGAGGAACACCGAUGGCGAAGGCAGAUCUCUGGGCCGUAACUGACGCUGAGGAGCGAAAGCAUGGGGAGCGAACAGGAUUAGAUACCCUGGUAGUCCAUGCCGUAAACGUUGGGAACUAGAUGUGGGGGCCAUUCCACGGUCUCCGUGUCGCAGCUAACGCAUUAAGUUCCCCGCCUGGGGAGUACGGCCGCAAGGCUAAAACUCAAAGGAAUUGACGGGGGCCCGCACAAGCGGCGGAGCAUGCGGAUUAAUUCGAUGCAACGCGAAGAACCUUACCAAGGCUUGACAUAUACCGGAAACGUCCAGAGAUGGUCGCCCCGCAAGGUCGGUAUACAGGUGGUGCAUGGUUGUCGUCAGCUCGUGUCGUGAGAUGUUGGGUUAAGUCCCGCAACGAGCGCAACCCUCGUUCUAUGUUGCCAGCACGUUAUGGUGGGAACUCAUAGGAGACUGCCGGGGUCAACUCGGAGGAAGGUGGGGAUGACGUCAAAUCAUCAUGCCCCUUAUGUCUUGGGCUUCACGCAUGCUACAAUGGCCGGUACAAAGGGCUGCGAUACCGUAAGGUGGAGCGAAUCCCAAAAAGCCGGUCUCAGUUCGGAUUGAGGUCUGCAACUCGACCUCAUGAAGUCGGAGUCGCUAGUAAUCGCAGAUCAGCAACGCUGCGGUGAAUACGUUCCCGGGCCUUGUACACACCGCCCGUCAAGUCAUGAAAGUCGGUAACACCCGAAGCCAGUGGCCUAACCCUUGUGGAUGGAGCUGUCGAA